rnacentral:rRNA from 1 species
UACGUAGGGGGCGAGCGUUGUCCGGAAUCAUUGGGCGUAAAGAGCGUGUAGGUGGGCCGGCAGGUCUGGUGUGAAAGCCCGGGGCUCAACCCCGGAGGGUCACCGGAAACCGACGGCCUUGAGUCCGGAAGAGGAGAGUGGAAUUCCUGGUGUAGCGGUGGAAUGCGCAGAUAUCAGGAGGAACACCGAUGGCGAAGGCAGCUCUCUGGUACGUGACUGACACUGAGACGCGAAAGCGUGGGGAGCGAACAGG